rnacentral:lncRNA from 1 species
AGGCACCUAAAACGUCUGCUAACUUGCGGUUAUUCGGACUGAUUGAAAAUGUCUUUUGAUUAACUUCAAAAAAAGAUUGAUUUGUUGAAAAGUGAUUGAUUUUAGAAAAUGAUUUGUGUAAAACAAAUUUGGACGACUUAGUAGGGAUUUUAACUAAGUCUAAACAAAUGAAAAAGGCAAAUAGCAAAUAGCACAUAAAGGGGAAAGAGAGAAAGUAAAAGAUUUAGGUCAUUGGGCCCAAAACUAUCGGGAUUUUGGUUUAUGUGCACCUGUCCUAAACUAUUUUCUUUUUGCAGGCCCAUCUGCCCAAAAUCUGCUCCACCUGUAUUACAUAUAACUUUGGCUUUGAGGCCCAAAAUGAAUGAAUGAAGGAGUAAAUAUAUAAACAAAUAAAUAAAAGACGACAAUAUAUAAAUAAAUAAAAAAACAAAUAAAAGAAAAGAGACUUUCUAAUCCCUUGGCCGCUUCAACGAUGGAAUUUUAACCCAUUAUUCCUCUCUCGACUUUUUGCAUCCAUUUGCUAUGUAAUCGGUUUUGGAUUCUCUUUCGGGCUUGACUCGAUAAAGUGGGCCGUGUUAGCCCAUUAUGAAAUGCAAGGAGAAAAAGUCCAUUUGGACUUCAAGGUGGGUUCAUGCAAAGAAAAAAGAUAAUGAAUUAAUGUAUAUUCUCAAAAAUUCUACACUUGCAAAUAAAUUAUAAGAUUUUAAACAAAAGAAAAUAGCAAUUCACUUACUACAUAUAGACACAUGAAACUAUAAAAUUUACAUGAACUCUAGGAUUAUGAAAAAUACAUAGCUUGCAAGUGAGUCAAUUAUAGUCAAUGAGGUCAAUCACAUCACUCAAAUAAAUAAAUCCACUAUAUAAACUCACGCUCUAUCACCAAAUAAAUGUAUAUCAUAUGAAUCCGAUAAGCUUUAAUCAUUUCUAAGCAAAUAAGCAGCGAAGCAUAUAAUAUCCAAACGAUUGCACCAUAAUUGGGAUGGAAAGCGAGAAAUAAUACUAUGCAGCAAUUAAUUCUUCAAAAAUUCGUGAUAAUUAUUACCGAAAAUUCUCAUUUCCGUGGGAAAGAAACCUGACUCAUUGCCUUUGAGAAAAAAAUAUGCAGAACAUUAUUGAAUUUUCACUAACGAAAUUGUCAUCGAGCAAUAGACGAAAUCUAAGGCACAACAAAUAUUGAAUCAAAACAGUGACUCGACCAUAUCGAUUGUGAGAAAGUAAACUCAAAGCGACUAAAAUCAAACAAAACUGCAAAGUCGAUAGCAGAACCAAUGUUACGAAUAUCUAACCAACAAAACAACAUAACAAUCACUACGCACAAGUCCUAUGGCUAUGGCAGCCAUCUACAGCAAACAAUCCAGCAUACAAUGCAACAAUACGACAGAAUAAAAUGCUACUAUAGAACAACGAAAAUAAACUAAAGAGGAUGAAGUAAUACCUGUUUCGGAGCAGCAAAACAAGACAAACGAGCUACCGUCCUUCCUCGGGAAGAUUCUUUCACAACUCCGAAAGCUCCGAGCAGCCCCCAACCUUCCUCGGGAAGAAGAAAAUUUUAUACUCAAAACAAGAUUAUACUUGUUUUUUUUGCUCAAAAUGGCUUUUUCACAUUCCGAGACCUUAUCCCUUUUAGCUCAACAAUGAGCUUUUUAUAUAGGAGAUUCGGAUUUCCAUUUCAAACAACCAACGAAGUGGGAGAGUCAAAAUCAUGGGCAGUUUUGGGAAUUUUAACAAAGGGUAUUUUCGGAGGAUAAGGUUUUUUCCCCUACUUCUUGUACUGAUUUUGAAUAAAUUUGAAUGGGUUCAAUCAAUAGAAAUGAAUAAUCCGCAAGAACCAAUAGAAUUCGCAAAAUUGGUACGAAUUCGUACCAUUCUCCCCAAAAUUCGCGGAUCUGAACGUUGGACGAGCCAACUAAGCAAUCUUCUCGGCCUUUCUUCGCAUAAAUCCACACGGGAGGGCGCGUGACGCAUGUGAGAGACGGGUUGAGACCGGGUCGAGUUGUUACUGCGGUUAUUGGGUUUCUGGAUUCAGAGUUGACGCGUUUUGCUGUUCGUUGUUAGGAUGGUUGGUGAUAUUGUCGUUGCUUUUCUGAUGUUGUUGGAAGGAGAAGGUAAUAUGGUGCUGGGCCGGGUCGGGGUUUUAAAAUUGGGCCGAUUGAGGUGGUUAAUUGGUGAAGUGGGCUGCCAAUUGUUGUUAAAUUGGGUUAAUACUUGGGGUUAUUUAAUAACCCUAAUUAAAUUUAAUUGGAUUAGAAUAAUCAUAAUUAAAUUUAAUUGAAUUAAAAAUAAGAAAAAAUUACAUAAACUAGCAUCCUUAAGAUUAUAAUUACAAUAAAUAGCAACACUUUUUAAAAAUUACAACUUAUAGCAAAAGUAGCAAUAUUUUACCCACUUUAUAGUAAUAGAAGAAUAUGUAUUUUCCAG